GAGCAGAGGAGACCAAUAAAAACAGUGUUAAUUUACAAAAUCACAGCAGAUACGGAGGACUGGGAAAACGAGGGCCUCUUGGAGAUUUUAGAACACCUUGAAAGAUUGCAGAACUCAGAGGUCCCUAUGGCAUCCCAGCAAACAAAACAGACCAUGAAACAUCAAGAAAUUACAUAAUUAGUUCAUGUUUGUAUAGCGCGUUGAGCAGGCAAAUUGCCAGCACCCAGCGAGUGCUGGGCGAUGUACAAUGCGCAGAAGCAAGCUCCGUGCUGAAUGAGAUUGUUGCCUGCACAGAAAGAUGACACACUGGGAGACUUGGAGGAAUAUAAGAACUGCAGUGACAGAGCAGAUCAGUCCUCCGUCUAGUCCAGCAUCCUUUUUUGGACCGUGACCAGCACCAGAUGGAAGGUCCAACCUAUCCCCAGGGAAAUUUCCUCCUCAUCCCCAGUCAUUAGAAAUUGGUUUAAACCCUGAAGCAUGAGGGUUUAGAUCCCUUCCAAAACUCUUAGUCUUUGUUCAUUUUGUAUUUACUAUUCUAAUUCUGGAUGUUCUUAUUCAUAUAAACACCCUGUUCCUUCUUGACUCCUGCUAAACUUGUGACCUCAAUACUAUCUUGUGGCAAUGAGUUCCAUAGGAAAACUGUGCAGUGUGUGUGUGUGUGUGUGUGAAUAUUUCCUUCUAUUGGUUUUGCAUGUGCCACCUUUCAGUUCUGUUGACUAACAUCUUAGCAGGUUAUGUCUUAAAAGAGGAAUAUCUAAGCUGAGGAUGCAGGGACAUGGGCACCAGCACAGUAUCCAGAAUGGAAACAAAUAUACACUAGAGAGGUUAUUGGCAUCUAUAAAUCCUGUCUGCCACAGCAUCUGCCAAACUUUUUGGAGACCAGCCUUCUGAGCUCCUAGUCCGCUCUGCAUACAAUGUCUGCAUUUGUGCUAUUGUGACAACAUUUUGGGAAGAGUUUGAUUGGUUCAUCCGUGUCACGUGGUGGAUGAGCACUAGGUAAUGUGGACAUU